rnacentral:rRNA from 1 species
UGGGGAAUAUUGCACAAUGGGCGCAAGCCUGAUGCAGCCAUGCCGCGUGUGUGAAGAAGGCCUUCGGGUUGUAAAGCACUUUCAGCGAGGAGGAAGGGUUCAGUGUUAAUAGCACUGUUCAUUGACGUUACUCGCAGAAGAAGCACCGGCUAACUCCGUGCCAGCAGCCGCGGUAAUACGGAGGGUGCAAGCGUUAAUCGGAAUUACUGGGCGUAAAGCGCACGCAGGCGGUUUGUUAAGUCAGAUGUGAAAUCCCCGAGCUUAACUUGGGAACUGCAUUUGAAACUGGCAAGCUAGAGUCUUGUAGAGGGGGGUAGAAUUCCAGGUGUAGCGGUGAAAUGCGUAGAGAUCUGGAGGAAUACCGGUGGCGAAGGCGGCCCCCUGGACAAAGACUGACGCUCAGGUGCGAAAGCGUGGGGAGCAAACAG